AGUUCCUCAGAGAGGCAGUUUGAGUUGUCUUCCCAAUUGUAUGCUGGACAUAUAAGAACAUACAUGCCAAGCAAGAACAAGGGCAGGAGGGCAGUGGCCAGUAGGGGGAAAGCCUCCUGGCUCCAGAGGCUGCAGGACCCACCUUUUCUAGAUAGCUGGCCAAAAGCUGGCUACUUGGAAGACCUUCUCCACACUGCUUUCCGACCCAAGUCUCCACUGGUUCCUCCAUCGUGAGGAACUCAGACCUGCCUCCGUCUGCUGCCUGCUCCUGAGGGCCAAGGACUGCUUUCCCUGAAAGCCUGGCCUUAAACCAGAAACCAGAUGCCACAGAGCUUCUUGGUGGAAGGGACGGGCCCAUCCCCUGAGUGGGAUCAGGGCUUCCUAAAUGCUGGGGUACAGAUCUACUGUCUGGUCUACCUCUCUGCAGCACUCUGGCUUGGGAGGACCUGGCUCUCCUGCUGUUGUAGGCUGACAAGAUUAACUGUAUUGUCCACACACAGGAAUGGCCUGACCUCUAAGGGCAACAGGUUUUGUUUGUUUUUUUCUUAGUAUGUUUUUGAUAUGUAGCUCACAACCUUCCUGCUUCAGCAUCUUCCAUGCUGGGAUGACAGGAAUACACUACCACCAUCAGCCUGCUGUCAAAUGGACAUCUGAUACUGAUUUGAUAUUGAUAUAAUGGAAAAUGACAUUGAGGGCACGGACUUGGAAGGAUUUCUCAUUACUGCCUAGACCUUCCCCUGGCCAGGCUACCGUUUUUGGACAGAACGGCUUGGGGCUUCAGGAAUCGAGGUAACCUACCUUGCUCCUGAAGAGGGGCUUGGCUCCAGGCCCACAGUACUCAUUAUAGAUGAGUUUAAAGAGGAAGAGGUGGAAGAGGGUGAUGAGGGAGGCCACACUGAACCAGAAGAGGAAGGGCAGGCCGGGAUCCUGCUGGGCCAUGUGCUCAUCGUGGGCCAGGAUGGCCUUAAGGUGCAGCGUGUGCCGCAGGUCCUGCAGAUGUGUGAGGUCGGUGGAGAUGUACAACAGUGGUGUGAUGGGCUGGGUCACCAUGACAGAGAAGGUGUGGCCUCCAGGCUCUGAGGUCAGCUCUACGGGGUCAUGGAGGCAGCCUGCCUCACAGGCGUAGAUCUUGACGGGUUGGCCUCGGGACUCCAAAGACACAUGCAGGUAGGGCUUGCCCUCAGCGUCCACCAGCACAGCCAGGUUGAUGUGGUCGUUCUUGUAGCGGAUGCCGUGAAGCGCAUAGCUGUUGUGGAGCACCUCGGGGUCGGCCUGGAACUGCAGGUGGUUUUCUGUGAACUGUAGCCCGCCGAAGCUGAGCACCAUGCCUUGCAGGAUGCCCGGAGCGCCAACCUUCACCAGCCCCUUGCAGCCGCGCUUCUGGAGGGUCAACUUCCACAGGUCAGCCAGCUGCAGGAUCUGCUGCACUGAGGAGAGCUGGCCAGGCCACAGGUUCUCGGCAUGCAUGGUGGCAUGGCCACUGAAGCAGUGGUCUUCAUAGUUGAGCGUUGCCUCCAUCUGCUCGCGUUCCCUGUGGCUCAGAGAGGGGCUGAGCAGUGGGGCUGGAGAGCAGGAGAGCAUGUAGUACAGGGUCAGGUUCACGGUCAGGCCAGAUGGCGUGUGAGCAUCCGUGAUCCUCUUCAUCUCCACACCUGUAAUACCAGAGGUUGCACGUUAGGGAGGAAGGCCUGGCUGGAGGCAGAAGAGAUGGAACAAAGGUGAGAGCUACAGAAGGUAGAGCUUUGGAUCAGCAAUAAAAGAUAGCAGUGCCCUGGGUGUGGUAGAGCUGUCCUUACUUCCUGAGAUGGCCCAUCUUGAUUGAAUGUGGUAGGACUUAAAUCACCACAGAAACACGCAUCCGUGCCUGUCUACGUAAGAUUUUCUACAUUAGACUGAAGCGGGAAGAGCCACCGUAAAUAUUGGUUGUCCUAUACCAUGGACUGAGAUCCAAGACUGUAGCUAGGUACCAGCAUUCAUCUCUCCCGACUUCCUGACUUGCAGAAGCCGUGUGACCAACCAGCCACCUCCUACUUCUGCUACUGUGUCUUUCCCACCAUGAUGAGUUGCCCCUCUUUGAACUGUAAGCCAAAAUAAACUUUCUUCAG
rnacentral:lncRNA from 1 species